rnacentral:tRNA from 1 species
GGAUGUUUAGCUCAGUUGGUUAGAGCGUUCGGUUCACGUCCGAAAGGUCACUGGUUCGAAUCCAGUAUCAUCCA